rnacentral:rRNA from 1 species
UACAGAGGUCUCAACCGUUGUUCGGAUUCAUUGGGCGUAAAGGGUGCGUAGGCGGUCGCGCAAGUCGGAUGUGAAAUCUCAGGGCUCAACCCUGAAACUGCAUUCGAUACUGCGUGGCUAGAGUGCUGGAGAGGAGACUGGAAUUUACGGUGUAGCAGUGAAAUGCGUAGAUAUCGUAAGGAAGACCAGUGGCGAAGGCGAGUCUCUGGACAGCAACUGACGCUGAGGCACGAAGGCCAGGGGAGCAAAGCGGG